AAAGUCGUAACAAGGUUUCCGUAGGUGAACCUGCGGAAGGAUCAUUAACAUUAUGAGAUGGCCUCGGUGGGGCAUUGCCCUGCCGCUGCGCACUCCCGUUACACCCUGGCCUACCCCCCUAAGGGGUAGGUUUCAUGUGUCCACCCUUUGUGAAACUCUUCCAUAUGCUUCGGCAGCACCUCUCCCGGGGGGUUAAGGCUGCCAGAAGCCCAUGUCAAAAUCAGUUGAUGAAAAUAUAAUGUCUGACUACUAUUUUGAAGAAAUCAAAAUCAUAUUAAAACUUUCAGCAACGGAUCUCUUGGUUCUC
rnacentral:misc_RNA from 1 species